rnacentral:rRNA from 1 species
UACGUAGGGGCCAGCGUUGUUUCGGAAUUACUGGGUGUAAAGGGUUCGUAGGCGGUGCGGCAAGUUGGGGAGUGAAAUCUCUGGGCUCAACCCAGAGACGGCUUCCAAAACUGCUGUGCUUUGAGUGUGGGAGAGGCUCGUGGAAUUGCAGGUGUAGCGGUGAAAUGCGUAGAUAUCUGCAGGAACACCCGUGGCGAAAGCG